UGUCGGGACGGAGCGAGACAAUGAUCUGUCUCGUUCCACGGGAAAAUUCGGACAACCCCAUUCCAAAAGAUUUAAAAGCUUGCUUCCAAGGCUCAAGAAAGACCACCGUUGGGAUAGAAGAUGGAAGAACAUGUAGUCCCUUUCGCCUACAACCACAGCCUUGACUCCCCGUCUUGUGCACUCACCCAACUCUCUCAUCUCCACCUGGCCUUCACUCCCUGUUUCUGUUUUAGUUCCCUCCCUCUCUAUAUAGAGGGCAUUCCCUCUCACCCCUCCUCGAUUUUUUGCCAUAGCCGCUGCUCUAUCCUUCCCCGAAUCAUUUUAGCCAUGGGUCAGAAUCUAGAGAUCUGGCGAUUCUCUGCUGGUCUAGAUGAUGGGGAUUGGUGAAUGGAUAGUAGGUGAAAUGGAGAUGCGCACCAACUCAAAAAUGGCAGGGUCAAGGAGGAGCACUGUGAAGUCUGAGAAAGAAAAGAACACGCUGAGCUCGAGGAGAAGAAAAGCACUUUCAAUUAGCCCCAAGAAUAUGGCCAAUAGAAGAUACUACUUCAAGCACUUUGUGGAGCUCUCAGUCAUCCUCAUUGCGUUGAUGUCCCACAAGCAAAAGAAAAUAGUGACUGCCAUUCCAUUCGGCCAUGCCUUGAUGCUUUGCUCUCAUUCUAGGAUGAUAAGGAGGAGGGUUUCCCGUUUGGUAAGGUACUAAUUUUUUUGUGGAGACUAAUUUUGCCCCCAUCAUUGGUUUGAGAGCCAUUGAUGCUGAGGUCAACCUGUAGAGGAGGGUGAAGGUCUAGUCUGAUCUCAUCACUCGAUAUUUUGAUGGUGACCACAAAAAGAAAAUUAGAGAUGCAGUGAAUGAUAAACUUAAAAUCUUGUUGAAAAGUCCAAUUAGCAAGAUAGAGAGAAUUUCACUAAGUUACAGGUAGUUUAUGUUUUUGUAACUAUCAUCUUCCCAAUCAUACAUUACUAUGUUC